rnacentral:rRNA from 1 species
CCUACGGGAGGCAGCAGUGAGGAAUAUUGCCCAAUGGGGGAAACCCUGAGGCAGCAACGCCGCGUGGAUGAAGACGGCCUUCGGGUUGUAAAAUCCUUUUAUCAGGGAAGAUAGUGACGGUACCUGAAGAAUAAGUCCCGGCUAACUACGUGCCAGCAGCCGCGGUAAAACGUAGGGGACAAGCGUUAUCCGGAUUUAUUGGGCGUAAAGCGCCCGUAGGCGGCCUGGUAAGUUGGACGUGAAAGCUCCCGGCUUAACUGGGAGAGGGCGUGCAAAACUGCCAGGCUGGAGGCUGAUAAAGGAGCGUGGAAUUCCCGGUGUAGUGGUGGAAUGCGUAGAUAUCGGGAGGAACACCAGUGGCGAAAGCGACGCUCUGGAUCAGACCUGACGCUGAGGGGCGAAAGCGUGGGGAGCGAACGGGAUUAGAUACCCCUGUAGU